CUGGAAUGAUGUUGCUUAGCCAAAUCAGACAUAGAUGUGCUCCAUAAGGCAAUGUCUUCAAAGCUUGUGUUAAUUGUUUUAGUAAACAUGUUGAUGGCCUCUUGUGUAACUUAUGCCAAGCAUUAGACAAGAUGCCUUGUGUAGAAGUGCAUCCUUUGAUGAUCACUUGGAGACUAGUAGCUGGCUGACCAGA